rnacentral:rRNA from 1 species
CAAUUUAAACAACGAAGAGUUUGAUCCUGGCUCAGGAUGAACGCUAGCGACAGGCUUAACACAUGCAAGUCGAGGGGCAGCACAGGUAGCAAUACCGGGUGGCGACCGGCGCACGGGUGAGUAACGCGUAUGCAACUUACCUAUCAGAGGGGGAUAACCCGGCGAAAGUCGGACUAAUACCGCAUGAAGCAGGGGCCCCGCAUGGGGAUAUUUGCUAAAGAUUCAUCGCUGAUAGAUAGGCAUGCGUUCCAUUAGGCAGUUGGCGGGGUAACGGCCCACCAAACCGACGAUGGAUAGGGGUUCUGAGAGGAAGGUCCCCCACAUUGGUACUGAGACACGGACCAAACUCCUACGGGAGGCAGCAGUGAGGAAUAUUGGUCAAUGGCCGAGAGGCUGAACCAGCCAAGUCGCGUGAGGGAUGAAGGUUCUAUGGAUCGUAAACCUCUUUUAUAAGGGAAUAAAGUGCGGGACGUGUCCCGUUUUGUAUGUACCUUAUGAAUAAGGAUCGGCUAACUCCGUGCCAGCAGCCGCGGUAAUACGGAGGAUCCGAGCGUUAUCCGGAUUUAUUGGGUUUAAAGGGUGCGUAGGCGGCCUUUUAAGUCAGCGGUGAAAGUCUGUGGCUCAACCAUAGAAUUGCCGUUGAAACUGGGGGGCUUGAGUAUGUUUGAGGCAGGCGGAAUGCGUGGUGUAGCGGUGAAAUGCAUAGAUAUCACGCAGAACCCCGAUUGCGAAGGCAGCCUGCCAAGCCAUUACUGACGCUGAUGCACGAAAGCGUGGGGAUCAAACAGGAUUAGAUACCCUGGUAGUCCACGCAGUAAACGAUGAUCACUAGCUGUUUGCGAUACACUGUAAGCGGCACAGCGAAAGCGUUAAGUGAUCCACCUGGGGAGUACGCCGGCAACGGUGAAACUCAAAGGAAUUGACGGGGGCCCGCACAAGCGGAGGAACAUGUGGUUUAAUUCGAUGAUACGCGAGGAACCUUACCCGGGUUUGAACGCAUUCGGACCGAGGUGGAAACACCUUUUCUAGCAAUAGCCGUUUGCGAGGUGCUGCAUGGUUGUCGUCAGCUCGUGCCGUGAGGUGUCGGCUUAAGUGCCAUAACGAGCGCAACCCUU